UUAAUUCAAACAGACGAAUAGAAUUAUAGGGCUUUGAAGGAAAAUAUUUCAAUUACCAAUAGUUAAGGAAAAUCAAAAUCAAUCAUAGAGAGUCAUAAUUCUGUCUUCUCUACAUAUAAAUACAGACGAAUGAAUAGAAGUAGCUAACAAGCAAGGUCAAUUAUAUAGGCAGAAAGAAACAAGAGAUGAGCCAACACGGCCAUAUAGAGGUAAUAUAAGUAGGCUAGAGAUUCAGCGGACCAUAUUCGAAGCAUGGUGACCACGAGAAAUUAAAAAGACCAUGGCAAAAAAAAUUAUGCUAACACAUAGAGCCAAGGCAAAGAGAAUCAUGCUAACACACCUAACCAAAGUGAAGAAAACCAUGUUCACACACAGAAACAGAGUAAGAAAAUCAUGCUAACAUACAACAACAAGUAAAGAAAAUCAUGCUGACACAUAGAAACAAGUAAAGAAAAUCUUUAAAAAUUAGAGCUUUUAAGAGAGUCGAGUUAAAAAGUAGUAGGAACACGGAAUCGAUCAAAAUAAACAAGGAAAAAAGGUUUAAUAAUGAAGAAAUUGGUUGAAAUAGGUAUAAAGAAAACUCCGAGAAAACUCUAAUUUUCAAAGAAAGUAAACACAGUUUAGAAUAGAGGAUCUUUCAAAUGAAAGCUCGAUAAUAAGCAAAUCAUAAAAGGAAACAGACGUAAAGCAUGAAACUAACAUAGAUCUGAGAGAUCCAGAAGAGAGUUAGGGUUUCAAAAGGAAAUCUAAGUAGAAAUUGAAAGAACCUGUUUUAACUUCAUAGAUCGUAACACAUGGUGUGAUUUUGCCCAAAAUCAUACCAUAGAAGCCUCAAACAAUAAGAUCAGAAACCCUAGGUCCAAAUCGACAUGGCCAAGACCCUUGAAUGCCUUAGAGAUGACGAGCACGGUGAUGAGAGACCCAUUGGAGGCUUGGGGUUGAAAGGAGGUUGCUGGAGAUGACCGGAGAAGGGGGAUUGACGGAGUGUUAGGGUUAGGUUUGAUAGAGGAGAGGAUGAGAGCAUAUGAAGGCGCCACAUUUAGAAAAAAGACUUAGG
rnacentral:lncRNA from 1 species